CCCUUCGGGAGCUCGGAGACAGGUGCUGCAUGGCUGUCGUCAGCUCGUGUCGUGAGAUGUUGGGUUAAGUCCCGCAACGAGCGCAACCCUUGUCUUUAAUUGCCAUCAUUGAGUUGGGCACUUUAAAGAGACUGCCGGUGUUUAAAACCGGAGGAAGGUGGGAUGACGUCAAGUCAGCAUGGCCUUUAUAUCCUGGGCUACACACACGCUACAAUGGGAAGGGACAAUAGGUUGCGAAGCCGCGAGGCGGAGCCAAUCCAGCAAAACUUCCCUCAGUUCAGAUUGCAGGCUGCAACCCGCCUGCAUGAAGUUGGAGUUGCUAGUAAACGCAGGUCAGCCAUACUGCGUUGAAUACGUUCCCGGGGCUU
rnacentral:rRNA from 1 species